rnacentral:lncRNA from 1 species
UAAUGUGGCUGAAACCCUGGGCUUGGGUGCAGCAUUGAGAGCUGGCCAAUAAGCAGGUGGUGGCGCAUGCCUGUAAUCCCAGCAGCUCAGGAGGCUGAGGCAGGAGGAUUGCAAGUUCAAAGCCAGCCUCAGCAACUUAGUGAGGCCUUAGGUAACUUAGUGAGACCCUGUCUCAAAAGAAAAAGGCUAGGGAUGUGGCUCAAUGGUUAAGUGCCCCUGGGUUCACUCCCCAGGACCAAAAAAAAAAAAAAAGAAGGCUGGCAUGUGGUUUCGCAUGGGCAGCAUUUCCGGUCUUCAAACGGGGCUCAGUGUUGCUCCGUGUCUGGCAUGAAAUCUUGCACAGAUAGGUUCUGAAAUAGCUUUUGACUGAGCAGAUGAAGAGUUGGAUGGGUUAAUGGCAUUAUCACACAGGAUAAAACUGGAAUUCUCUAAAAGUGACCACAAGGGCAAUCAGAACAGAAUUGUUAAUUGGAACCAAGGUGGGGUCAUCAGGCUCCUGUGGUGUCCAUUAAACAGAUUUUGGUUUUCCAAGGGCAGUCGCCCAUGGGAGGUGCAGGAGCUCUCAGGCCUAAGGAGAGAGUCAGGAAGCCUGGCAGACACCUUCUUUCCUUCUUCGGUGGGGAGGAAGCCAGAGGGGAAGAUCCCACCCAGAAAACUUUUGUGCCUAACCUGCGUCACUUCCAGCUUUACUGUGUUUUAAAAAGCUACACACAACUCAGCGAAUGUUAUCCUGGUGAGAAGUUUGCAGUGUUCCUGUCAGUGUUUCCACCUUGAGAAACAAGACACAGUGCUUGCUGGCAAACUCAGAACACAGAAAAGGUUGAAAUAAUUAAAGGGCUGGGGUUGUGGCUCAGUGGUAGAGCGCUCGUCUCGAACGCAUGAGACCCUGGGUUCGAUUCUCAGACCACAUAAAAAAUAAAUGAGUGAAAUAAAGGUAUUCUGUCCAACUACAACUAUAAAACAAAUAUUUGAAAAAUAAUAAAAAAUGUUUUAAAAAAGAAUUAAAAUCACCCCACUUUCACAGUCAAGAAAUGAUUUAUUGAAGUUUGGGUGGAUGUUCGGGCGAGAACUGUGUUAUCUCAUUGUUCACUUACGCUCCGUCAAAUACACUUACCCUCAAAAUUGAAGUUAGUCAUAGAAAAAUCAGAGAAUUCCUAAACAGAGCCCUGGUGCUCUGUCUCAAGUUCCCUGCGGGAAAGAUGAAGGUCCCAGUCUGUAUCCUGGAUCACCAUCAUGGCACCAGUGGUGGACAGGGUACUGGGCUGAGCCUCGGAAACUGGGGUGAUAGCCUCCAGUGGGUCACUCGCUCUCUCUGAGGCCCCCCCCUUCUCAUACCCCUUCCCCCCUCCCAGUGCCACAAGACUCAGGGGAGUUCCCAGGUUAGAAAGCCUUGAGCCACCACAAGGGCGUGGCUCGGAGUGUGAGCAGGUCACUUGACUGAAGAAGGCAGGAGAGGGCGAUUGUGUGUAUGUGAGUGAGUGCGGUGCCUGUGUGUGUGUUGC